ACGAACGCUGGCGGCGUGCUUAACACAUGCCAGUCGAACGGAAAGGCCUCUUUCGGGGGGUACUCGAGUGGCGAACGGGUGAGUAACACGUGAGUAACCUGCCCUUGACUUUGGGAUAACUUCAGGAAACUGGGGCUAAUACCGGAUAGGAGCUCCUGCUGCAUGGUGGGGGUUGGAAAGUUUCGGCGGUUGGGGAUGGACUCGCGGCUUAUCAGCUUGUUGGUGGGGUAGUGGCUUACCAAGGCUUUGACGGGUAGCCGGCCUGAGAGGGUGACCGGCCACAUUGGGACUGAGAUACGGCCCAGACUCCUACGGGAGGCAGCAGUGGGGAAUAUUGCACAAGGGGUGGAAGCCUGAUGCAGCAACGCCGUGUGCGGGAUGACGGCCUUCGGGUUGUAAACCGCUUUCGCUCAUGACGAAGCUUUGUGUGACGGUAGUGGGUAAAGAAGCACCGGCUAACUACGUG
rnacentral:rRNA from 1 species